UCAGGAAAACUUGCAGAGGCAUUUUUCACAGUGUCUCCAGUGGAAGAAGUGGGAAGAUGAGGUUCGGAAGGGGUGCAUUCUUUCAGCGUGCCACAGGCUUUGCAGCAAAACUCACCAGGAGCUUGAGAGUUCUCUGCAGUGUAGAUGAAAUGAGGGAGGAAUGGAGUUUACAGGGAGAAAAAUGUGGGCCGAUGUAACACUAAGGCCAAUUAGCUCAGACAAAGGGCAAAAAUGAGAGCUGGCAACCUGUCUAGUAAGAAACGUGAGCAAGGCCCUAAUGCAGGUGCUGUUCCUCAGGGUCCAACAGCUGAAGGCCACGCUUGGUUUUUACAACAUUUCUUGGGCUCCCAGCUUUUCAGAACAGCACCCGUUGUUAGAAAGACGGCUGUCCAGAGAGAGAACAUACCAGCAUAGUGGGAUCGUUGAGCAAAGCAAGAACACUGGCGGUGGAUCUCAAGCAAAGCUUUCUGGCAGAACAUCGGGCCGAAAUGAAAGCUUCGUUCCAUGUGUUUUCCACUCUGCUUCAAGCCUCUUCCAGAUGCAGGAGUCUAACAGAGUCCACAUAAACAAGAAACCAAAACAAAACGGCACAAGAUCGAAAGCUUUCCCCUUGUGAUACAACCACUUUAUGUGCAGAGAGGCGCUCACAUGAUGCUGCCAACAUGUGUUUUCUGUCUCAGAUUUCCCUUGAUAACAAAGGACAUAUUUUAGAAGGCGUGGCCCUAGGUGCAUUUGGCCAGCAGGAAUCCGAGUGGAGUUUGGGGAUUUCAUUUGGGUUUAGGCUGAUCCCCUCGGGUGCCCAGUGCUACAGCCCUUGAUGAUGUUAAACCCCAAUUAAUAAAGUUGUUAGGAACACUUUGGGUCAGGUUUGUAAGAUAUGAUCUCAUUCUACUGCUCACAGAACUGAUUUAAUAUUCAGGAAUCAACUAAGCUCAUUCAUUUCCAAAAUUGGCAGCCCUGCAUGUUGCUUCACAGUACUCCCUCUGUCCAAGGCUGGGCAGGGUAUGUUAAAAGGAAAUCUGCAGAAGAGUCUUUCAUGAUGUUCCAAGACUCAGAGAGAAGGAUGGGGGCUGGGAAACAGGCAGGGUGGACAGGUGGGAGGGACAGUAGCUCUGCCUGAGGUAUGAAUGUGAUAGACAGAGAAAGGCAAUGAUAGCUCAGAAAAACUCACGACUCUUAUUGUUAGAAAUCCCACUUCCAAAUCUAUGCAAGUUUUAAGAAGCCAGAAAUAGCUGCAUUAACAUUACCGUAUGGACUUUUUUUAAAAAGUUGCAAAUGACCAUAAAAAAUAUCAGCCAUCUCUUUUGAUGACCUUACCUAAGUGAUUUAUGAUCUUAAAAGCCUCCUCUAAAUACUGCUUUUUAAUCAAGAAAGCUUAUGUUACUCUUCCUACACAAAAUUAACCUCACUUCAGAUUUUGAAGAAAAGGCAGAUCAUAUUUUUAAAUUUCAAUUUUUCAUCUUUUAAAUAG
rnacentral:lncRNA from 1 species